CAGUAGCCGCGGGAAUACGUAGGUGGCAAGCGUUGUCCGGAAUUAUUGGGCGUAAAGGGCUCGCAGGCGGUUUCUUGAGUCUGAUGUGAAAGCCCCCGGCUCAACCGGGGAGGGUCAUUGGAAACUGGGAAACUUGAGUGCAGAAGAGGAGAGUGGAAUUCCACGUGUAGCGGUGAAAUGCGUAGAGAUGUGGAGGAACACCAGUGGCGAAGGCGACUCUCUGGUCUGUAACUGACGCUGAGGAGCGAAAGCGUGGGGAGCGAGCAGGAUUAGAGACCCGCGUAGUCCCUGUCUCUUAUAC
rnacentral:rRNA from 1 species